rnacentral:rRNA from 1 species
AUACAGAGGGUGCGAGCGUUAAUCGGAAUUACUGGGCGUAAAGCGCGCGUGGGCGGCUACGUCAGUCGGAUGUGAAAGCCCCGGGCUUAACCUGGGAAUUGCAUUCGAAACUGCGUGGCUAGAGUCUGAUAGAGGGAAGUGGAAUUUCCGGUGUAGCGGUGAAAUGCGUAGAUAUCGGAAGGAACAUCAGUGGCGAAGGCGGCUUCCUGGAUCAAGACUGACGCUCAGGUGCGAAAGCGUGGGGAGCAAACAGGAUUAGAAACCCCUGUAGUCC